rnacentral:tRNA from 1 species
UACUACUUUGGCAGAACAAUGUAAAGGAUUUAGGACCCUGAUAUAUAGAUUUAUUAAUCUAUAAGUAGUAU